CAUACUUUCCUUAUGUACUCUCUCUCUAUCUCUCUCUCUCUGAUUUUCUUUUUCUUUGAAAGGUGAAGCUGUGAUGAAGAUCUAGCUGUGUACCGGAGACGGUCUCUAACGAUUCCGUCGUUGACGGCAACACAACCCUCUAAGAAGUUCUGAGCUUUCCCUUUCACAGUUAUAUCGUGCUUCUUUUUUCUUCUUCUUGGUUUUGGUAAAGCUGAAAUCUUUGUUUAUUGUGGAAAUAGUUAUGGUGGUGAGGUAAAUUGUCGAGGUGAUGAUAGAAAUUCAUAUCAAGUCUGUCAAUCCGCUGAACUAUAGUGUGACGACUCCAUGAAUCCCGACAGGUUCUGAUCGCUAUUUUAUGUCGCCACCGAUUUGACUUUCUAGGCGUUUGGUUGGGCAAGUGAUGAAUCUCAUUGUAAUUUAAUGGGUAAUUUGCGUCUGAGAUCUUUCAUUGAUGCUUUAUCACCUUGGAGAACUGAUGCCCUCUUUAAUUUUGGGUGAGAUGCACUUCAAAUCUAAUAUAAAACUCGUUCAGUUGCACGGAGGCACACGCCUACGUAGUCUGCGAAGUGUACCUAACCUUCUUAUUUUGCAACUAUAUUGCGUGCAUUUUGAGGGAUAUCACUGAGCAAGAUAAGCCCUGACGGUAUCUACAACUGUUUGCAGAGGCACACGGCCUACGUAUUCUGCGAAGUGUACCCAACCCUCUUAUUUUGCAACUAUAUUGCGUGCAUUUUGAGGGGUAUGUCACUGAGAAAGAUUUGAAAGUCUACGGUAUAUGCAACUGAGGAAUUGUUUUGUUACCGUUUGAUCAUGUUGGUUGGUUGGUUGGUUGGUAUCGACCUGAAGAUCACCUAAAAUUCUGCAUUGUGGCAGCAUAGGACGUGGGCGAGGAAUUGACGGUGCCUAGAUAGUGAUUAUUUGUGCUAUUAAUGUUUUGUUCAUCUAUUUGGUGGAGAAUCUUGUUACACAGAAGUCUUAUACUAUGCACAACACUUAAAAAUAUGUGAUUUUAUUUUUUUA